rnacentral:lncRNA from 1 species
UUUUUUUUUUUUUUUUCUUUAAGGAGGAGCGGCGGCCUCUGCUCAUCCUUAAAUAAUGCGCGCCGGUUCCUCCAAAGCCGCGAGCGGCCGGCUGGGGACUGCGUGCCGGCUCGUGCCCGCUGCAGCAAGACGAUACGGACGUGGUAAUUGAUCACGUCCCGGGUUCGGGGACUGUGUCCAACCGGGAGGCCAACCUCGGCUUCCCCGGCCUCUGCGAGCAAGGACAAGGGAACAGGGGGCGGUGGUUGGCUGCCUUUAGUUUUGAUUUAUGGGGGGGGGGGGAUCAUCAGAAUUCGCCGACACACCCUAUUAACCGCUGGUCGUUUAAACUGCUGCCUAAGAAAGGCAGAGUCGUGGAGGUUGAUAGGGGUUCGGGAGGAGGAGGGGAAGAAGAAAGAAGCCUGACCAUCCCCACGUUUUUCCCACGUCUGGGCGCGCGCAGGGAGGCUCGGCGCUGCCACCUGGCGGCUGCUGCUCCGCAGACCGGGAGCCCGCGGGCGGCGGAGCAAGCCCAGACUCCCCGGGGGUGUGGGGCUGUGCAGGGCCUGGGCCUCCGGACGAGGAGAGGCUCGAAUGCAAGCUUCGGAUCUACGUGACCCAGGCAAAAAUUCGUCGUCUCGUGGGAAAUUGGGAAGGAAAGCAAAAGGGGGAUGGUAAUGCCAUAAAGUGGUUACUUUUAAUCUCACCAGGCGCUAGCUACCCGAUGGUUGGGAGGGGAGAUAAAGUGGUCAAAAUCAUUAGAGAUUCUUACCCUUCAGCUUCUUCUAAGAGUAAAAAUAAAUCACGAUUUCAUUUUGCACCAGACUCCCUAUUUUGGUAUUUUGAAAAUAAGAGUCACUGACAUAUGUUAUUUUUUCAAUGUAAACCCUGAAAAGAGUAAGUCCAGUCCUAAUAAAACGUGGGCCCAAAAGGAUGAGUGGAAGUUGUAUUUGCCAACUUGAGAAGUAAAUCAGCCUCCUUUGGAGGGUUCUUUUCCCUCAAGUGUGGAACUGAAAACCCUGGGCCUUUCAGUUGACAAAGUCCAAUGACAUCAAGUUUCCCAGGGCUGCUUCUAAACUAACACAGGAGGGGAGGGGAGGGGAGGGGAGCGGAGGAGGGUGUCCCCACCCCCUCUGUUUCAUUUGAACUGAAUACUUGUCAGGUUAGACCAGCUCCCACAGUCAUGGUUUCUAUAGCCAAGGCAAGGCAAAAUCUUGCAAAUCAGUGCAAAUCCAAGAGAUUUGUUAAACUAAUUUCCCUUCGGCGCCCUGCCCCCACACUAUAGGAAUAUAUUCAGCAGUGGGAGAGAAUCUGACUUCCAUCUAUACCCCAUACCGUUCUAUGGAUGUGAGAUUUUAUGUUGUACAGGUGUGAGAGCAGAAGAAAUGAGUUAGCAGAUACUACAUUACAUCUCAAACAGAAUUCCAUUAUUUUAUAGAAAAGAAGAUCAUUUACCUUAAUUCAAAAUUGGAAAUGUCUAACAGCAGUACCAAUGAAGACAAUUGUUUAUUAUUCUAUAACAGGAUUUUUUUUUUUGCAAAAUUAUCUUGAUUUUCUGUUAAUAUGGCUUAAAGAGUAGCAUUAAGAAUUACUUCAUGUACUGAAAAGCCAGCAGAGGGAACACUGAGUACUGAUUUAGUAGAGGCCACCAAAUAUCUGGUAUUUGGGGGAAAAAAUGUCAGUAAUGGGGAACUGGUUACAAAGCAUAUGAAUUUAGGUAUUAAGAACACAGAAAUCUUUUCCCAUUGCUUGGUUUUCAGAGGCCCAAAACAUUCCAGCAUGCACAUGUUUACUGGGUUGGUGAGAAAGGUGACUUUAAAAAAAGCUAAAUGUCUUACAUUUGAAAAGAAAUACUCACAUGGAAGAACAAAUGUACUUUAGAAGUCUGAGCGUUCAUAUAUACCAUUAUCACAUUAUAAAGUCGAUGGAAAUGAUUAAUACCGUAUUUCUUCAGUUCUGAGAACUCCUUUUCACUUCCAACAUCUGUGAAAUAAACAGGGGCAGGUUGAUGUCUCUUUGGCAGUUAUCUUUCCUUACUUGCAUGGAACGAUGGUGUAUCUUUUUUUUUUUUUAAGAUUUUAUUUAUUUAUUUAUUCAUGAGAAACACAGAAGGACAGAGAGAGGCAGAGACACAGGCAGAGAGAGAAGCAGGGGUCCAUGCAGGGAGCCUGACGUGGGACUUGAUCCCGAGUCUCCAGAAUCAGGCCCUGGACUGAAGGCGGCGCUAAACUGCUGAGCCACUGGGGCUGCCCACGAUGGUGUAUCUUAAAAUCCACUGGAUUUGUUAAAAUCCAAAAAUUCAUCUUGUAAUAUGUAAUAGAUCAGUGGCUUUUUUAUUUUUAUUUUUAUUUAUUUAUUUAUUUUUUAGUAUCUACUUUGGAAAAAAACCUAUGUGCAGGGUGCCUGGCUGGUUCAGUCAGUGGACCCUGAGACACUUGACCUUGGGGUUGUGAGUUUGGGCCCCACAUUGAGUAUAAAGAUAACUUAAGAAUAAAAAUCUUAAAAAUAAAUAAAUAACCUGUGUGCUUUAAAGAUAAACAAAAUUACUAGGGCUACUUUGAUUAAAUCCCACUUUUCCCCAUCAUUUUCAGCGGUGAAAGCAGGACUGGUUCUAGAAAUGUCAUCAAUUAUGUUGAUAGUCACCCUGACCGAAUUUUCACAAACUAGCUACAUUCUCAAAUCAUGAGUUGGUACAAAUCUCAAAAUAUAGUAUUUAUUCUUUUUUUUUAAUUCGAGUGAAGAUACUGAUUUUAUAAAUAAUAGGCCUCUUAGAGUAAUUUUUGAUGUCAGAGUAUAACAUUUAGGGUUGUUCAGGUGUUUUGGUGUGCAUACCAAAGAAAAUAAAACACAUGAUGACACACCCAACUUUGUUACAUGCAAAAAAAAAGAUGCCUGUAGGUUUUUGUUUGUUUCAGAUUUGUUCCCCCUUCUAAAAGAAAAAGUAUAUAACUUGGGUAGCUAAUGGUCAAAGAUUACUUGCUUUUACUCACAACAUUCUUGCUUGUGAUUGAUCCUUACAGAUCCAGUCAGAUGUCUCCAAAGAGUGUUCUUUCCAGUAAAAUUCUAAAUCUGACAACCUGGGCCUCUGGCCAGCCUACAUACUUUAAAAGUUUGACAAGAUAAAUAGAAAUCUGCUGCCUAGCACUAGUUUGAUCUGAAUCAAAAGCUUACUUAAUUAUGUUGGGUUGGCCCUACCUAACCACCACCUAUCCCUGGCCUAUAGAAAAACAGUUUAUUAUUACGGCAUUAAAAAAGACGAAUUUUUACCAAAACUCUAAUUUUCACACUUUGGAAUGGAGGUAAUUUUUGUGGCCAAAUAAACAUGUAUCUGAUUACCUAUGUACCUGUUCUCUGCCAGAAUCUCCACAACACUCUUGACAAAGUUCCUUUCGUUUAAAAUCAUUAAGACCACAGGAUUGCCACUGUCGUCCUUGGACAGUUCACAUCAUGUGAUUCGUGAUUACUUUUGAAAUGGCUCAGUCAGUAGAGCGAGCUACUCUUGAUCUCAGGGUCCUGAGUUCAAGCCCCACCACAGUGGGCAUGGAGCCUAU